GGGUUGUGAGGUUAAGCGACUAAGCGUACACGGUGGAUGCCCUGGCAGUCAGAGGCGAUGAAGGACGUGCUAAUCUGCGAUAAGCGUCGGUAAGGUGAUAUGAACCGUUAUAACCGGCGAUUUCCGAAUGGGGAAACCCAGUGUGAUUCGUCACACUAUCAUUAACUGAAUCCAUAGGUUAAUGAGGCGAACCGGGGGAACUGAAACAUCUAAGUACCCCGAGGAAAAGAAAUCAACCGAGAUUCCCCCAGUAGCGGCGAGCGAACGGGGAGCAGCCCAGAGCCUGAAUCAGUGUGUGUGUUAGUGGAAGCGUCUGGAAAGGCGCGCGAUACAGGGUGACAGCCCCGUACACAAAAAUGCACAUACUGUGAGCUCGAUGAGUAGGGCGGGACACGUGGUAUCCUGUCUGAAUAUGGGGGGACCAUCCUCCAAGGCUAAAUACUCCUGACUGACCGAUAGUGAACCAGUACCGUGAGGGAAAGGCGAAAAGAACCCCGGCGAGGGGAGUGAAAAAGAACCUGAAACCGUGUACGUACAAGCAGUGGGAGCACGCUUAGGCGUGUGACUGCGUACCUUUUGUAUAAUGGGUCAGCGACUUAUAUUCUGUAGCAAGGUUAACCGAAUAGGGGAGCCGAAGGGAAACCGAGUCUUAACUGGGCGUUAAGUUGCAGGGUAUAGACCCGAAACCCGGUGAUCUAGCCAUGGGCAGGUUGAAGGUUGGGUAACACUAACUGGAGGACCGAACCGACUAAUGUUGAAAAAUUAGCGGAUGACUUGUGGCUGGGGGUGAAAGGCCAAUCAAACCGGGAGAUAGCUGGUUCUCCCCGAAAGCUAUUUAGGUAGCGCCUCGUGAAUUCAUCUCCGGGGGUAGAGCACUGUUUCGGCAAGGGGGUCAUCCCGACUUACCAACCCGAUGCAAACUGCGAAUACCGGAGAAUGUUAUCACGGGAGACACACGGCGGGUGCUAACGUCCGUCGUGAAGAGGGAAACAACCCAGACCGCCAGCUAAGGUCCCAAAGUCAUGGUUAAGUGGGAAACGAUGUGGGAAGGCCCAGACAGCCAGGAUGUUGGCUUAGAAGCAGCCAUCAUUUAAAGAAAGCGUAAUAGCUCACUGGUCGAGUCGGCCUGCGCGGAAGAUGUAACGGGGCUAAACCAUGCACCGAAGCUGCGGCAGCGACGCUUAUGCGUUGUUGGGUAGGGGAGCGUUCUGUAAGCCUGUGAAGGUGUGCUGUGAGGCAUGCUGGAGGUAUCAGAAGUGCGAAUGCUGACAUAAGUAACGAUAAAGCGGGUGAAAAGCCCGCUCGCCGGAAGACCAAGGGUUCCUGUCCAACGUUAAUCGGGGCAGGGUGAGUCGACCCCUAAGGCGAGGCCGAAAGGCGUAGUCGAUGGGAAACAGGUUAAUAUUCCUGUACUUGGUGUUACUGCGAAGGGGGGACGGAGAAGGCUAUGUUGGCCGGGCGACGGUUGUCCCGGUUUAAGCGUGUAGGCUGGUUUUCCAGGCAAAUCCGGAAAAUCAAGGCUGAGGCGUGAUGACGAGGCACUACGGUGCUGAAGCAACAAAUGCCCUGCUUCCAGGAAAAGCCUCUAAGCAUCAGGUAACAUCAAAUCGUACCCCAAACCGACACAGGUGGUCAGGUAGAGAAUACCAAGGCGCUUGAGAGAACUCGGGUGAAGGAACUAGGCAAAAUGGUGCCGUAACUUCGGGAGAAGGCACGCUGAUAUGUAGGUGAAGUCCCUCGCGGAUGGAGCUGAAAUCAGUCGAAGAUACCAGCUGGCUGCAACUGUUUAUUAAAAACACAGCACUGUGCAAACACGAAAGUGGACGUAUACGGUGUGACGCCUGCCCGGUGCCGGAAGGUUAAUUGAUGGGGUCAGCGCAAGCGAAGCUCUUGAUCGAAGCCCCGGUAAACGGCGGCCGUAACUAUAACGGUCCUAAGGUAGCGAAAUUCCUUGUCGGGUAAGUUCCGACCUGCACGAAUGGCGUAAUGAUGGCCAGGCUGUCUCCACCCGAGACUCAGUGAAAUUGAACUCGCUGUGAAGAUGCAGUGUACCCGCGGCAAGACGGAAAGACCCCGUGAACCUUUACUAUAGCUUGACACUGAACAUUGAGCCUUGAUGUGUAGUUUUGGUGGGUCGCUUUGUAGUGAAGAAGCCAGUCUGCAUGGAGCCGACCUUGAAAUACCACCCUUUAAUGUUUGAUGUUCUAACGUUGACCCGUGAUCCGGGUUGCGGACAGUGUCUGGUGGGU
rnacentral:rRNA from 1 species